rnacentral:rRNA from 1 species
UUUAAAACUCAAAGAAAUUGACGGGGGCCCGCACAAGCGGUGGAGCAUGUGGUUUAAUUCGAUGCAACGCGAAAAACCUUACCUACCCUUGACAUCCUCGGAACUUGUCAGAGAUGAUUUGGUGCCUUCGGGAACCGAGUGACAGGUGCUGCAUGGCUGUCGUCAGCUCGUGUCGUGAGAUGUUGGGUUAAGUCCCGUAACGAGCGCAACCCUCGUCCUUAGUUGCCAGCGAGUCAAGUCGGGAACUCUAAGGAGACUGCCGGUGAUAAACCGGAGGAAGGUGGGGAUGAUGUCAAGUCAUCAUGGCCCUUACGGGUAGGGCUACACACGUGCUACAAUGGGCAGUACAAAGGGUUGCCAAGCCGCGAGGUGGAGCUAAUCCCA